AUAUAUGUUUUCUUCGGAACACUGGAGACAGGUGGUGCAUGGUUGUCGUCAGCUCGUGUCGUGAGAUGUUGGGUUAAGUCCCGCAACGAGCGCAACCCUUAUUCUUAGUAGCCAGCAGGUAAAGCUGGGCACUCUAGGGAGACUGCCAGGGAUAACCUGGAGGAAGGUGGGGAUGACGUCAAAUCAUCAUGCCCCUUAUGAUUUGGGCUACACACGUGCUACAAUGGCGUAAACAAAGGGAGGCGAAGGAGCGAUCUGGAGCGAACCCCAAAAAUAACGUCUCAGUUCGGAUUGCAGGCUGCAACCCGCCUGCAUGAAGCCGGAAUCGCUAGUAAUCGCAGAUCAGAAUGCUGCGGUGAAUACGUUCCCGGGUCUUGUACACACCGCCCGUCACACCAUGGGAGUCGAUAACGCCCGAAGUCAGUGACCCAACCGAAAGGAGGGAGCUGCCGAAGGCGGGAUUGAUAACUGGGGUGAAGUCGUAACAAGGUAGCCGUAUCGGAAGGUGCGGC
rnacentral:rRNA from 1 species